AUUAUUAUUAUUUCUUAACCUUAUUCUCUGAUGAAUACCCUAUAAGUGUAAAUUCUAUGUUAUUUGAGAUUUUGAAUUGUUGAGACCCUGUUAAGGGUGGGUUUUCUUGCUUUGAAUUAUUUAGUUCAAUUUGACUGUUUUGUCCUUUUGGUUACUCGAUAUAUGUUGUUGAAAAUAUUUUCUUUUUUCAAGAGGUGUUCAACUUCAAGCUGGGUUUUGGGUUUUCGUGCUUCUGCAUUUUAUUUUCUGAAACUUUAGUUGUUUUCUUGUUAUGUUACAUGUAAUUUGGGAUGACCAUUCUUUUUGCCCAUUUGGGUGCCAAAAAAAAGGAAAAUGUGAGGUUUUUUUUAUCAUGUUUUCGUUAUUGUUUAAAGAACCCUUAAUUUGACUUACAAGACAAGGUAUUUAGUAUUGAAAUGGACCUGAAUAGAGAAAAUGGGUACAGAGGAUUCAUGUAGCUGAAUUCAACUAAUUUGGAAUUGAGGGUAGUUGAUUGGGGAGGCGGGGCGCGGUGGGGUGUGGGGGGGGGGGGUGGGGGGUGUUCAGGGUCUACGCUUUGUAUUAUAUCGGAUUUUAACUGUUCGUCAAGUAUGCCAGGUAUGUGUUUGGACAAUUUCAGGGGUUGACAAAUCUAUAACGAUGGGUCUAAUCUUAUUCUAGGCGUGCGGAGCUACUUAUUCUUUCUUUCAUUCCGUUUGUUUGAUUGGUUAAAGAGAGCGUUUUGGUAAAGACUAUUCCAUCGAGAGUGGCUGAACAGUGAACACUUCUUCAAAGGAAUGGUGGGAACUGUGAUCCCGAGUAGAUAGUUGUAUUCUUCUACUCUCUCUAUUUUGGCUUGGGUCACUCUUGGGUUCAUCUCUCUGAGUUCGAGCGGUAGAACUCCUUCUAGGCAGAUUAGAACUGUAGUGUCAAUUCCAACACAAGUCCUUUUUUUAUAUAUUUUUGUUUUCAAUUCAAAUUUCUUUAUAUUGACAACGGUGUAUCAAACAAUUUGAGGUUAA